GUGUCAUAACUGUGUGGCUAGUUUUCUCUGGGUAGUUCUUAUCCAUAGUGUCCUUACAGAAAAAUCUCUUGGUACAGGAGCAAGAGACAUUCUGAUCCAAACUGAGAAUCUGCUCUUUCAGGAAAUUGCUGGAGCCAGUCAGUGGCAAAAAGUGAGUAGGCUAAGUGGCACAGCUAAGUGUAGGCUGUGGCUAAGUUUCAGGUAGAAGCCAGCAAAACUCAGUGUAACCUAGUAUGUCCCUUUCUGACAUGAAAGGUGUUGGUUUUGUUGGUGCUUUUUAGUUAGAGCAGUUGAAAUGAAUGACCACCUGCUGAUCUCUGCCAGUGUCUUCAAGCUAAAUGCCACUGUUGGUUCUCCUCAACUUUGGUAUCCUCUUUGCCUGUCAUCCUACAACCUCCAGCUGAACCCAGUUACCUGCUGGUCACUGGUUGUGCUGUUCAGUAUAAGGGCCAAAGGGUGAUGUUUGGGGACAAGAGGUGGAAUUUGAGGAGUUCAUCUUAAGACUGUAAGAGUGUUAAUUCUGAUAAUCUGGUUACCAGGAGCAAGGGGUGGAUUCUGUGCACUCCACACUCAGUGUUAACACAGCGCUCACAGGAGGCAGACAUUUGAAGUUAGCUAUCUCUUGGUUCAGUCUCACUGGUUGGAUUCUACCAAUCUCUCUUUUGUAAAUGCUGGAAUAAGAAGUAGCUGUAUGCAUAAACCAGUGCAAUAGAUCUACCUCUGAUGACUAAGGAGAUAAAUACAAGCCAGUGAGGUUUGCAAGAAAUCGCUACAAGAUCAGCAGCCAGAGCACCAUCUGUGCACACAGCUUAUCCGUACCACCCAGGUUUGUGACAAAGGAAUGUGUCAGCUUCUGCUUUUACGGACCAGCUAAAAGUGUCCUUCAUGCUAAGAACUUCAAUGAAAUUCUACAACUACUCUCUAAUGUCAGAUCUAAUCACGUCAUCCAGCAAGUCUGACUGGUACAGGCUUCAUUCAGCAAGAAGCUCUUUGUGCAGUACUGCUUUCGCAAGUCAGAAGUAUGAAGGUUCAGCUGCUCGUCGGUGUCACCUCCCGACCCGGCUAGUUGCAGAAUGGUCAUCUCAGCGUCCUGGGAAAAUGGGCUGUAACAGUAGGGACAACAGCUUAAGGAAUCACUGAACACUGUCCUCAUAGGACAACUGCAUCCUGGCUUCAAAGACAGGAGUGAAAUUUGAAUCAGCAAGAGUUCCUCUGUCCACAGAUAAGAGAGGGAGAGAAAGAGACGGAGCAAGAGGGUCUUCCUGAGCUAUUUUUGCGCCUAGAGAUAUCAGGCUGUUACACCCAGUACACUUGCUCUGUAGCGUGGACUUGACUCUUUCCUCAAGGUUUCACCCAGCCACUUAAUUAUACUUCCUUCUGUUCAGUGAAGCACCUUAACUGGAGCCUCUGGCCAAAGUUGGCUACUAGUGAAAGGAAAGCAAACUCUGCAAGAAGAAUAUGGCCUGAUUGGAGAGUGAGCAAGCUGCUGUUCAACAUGGCCACUGCAGGCAAGUGGAACUGCUGGUGCCGAGGGACAACGCGGCCUGCAAGGCAGGGAGCGCCCGUGUGCUGCAGCAGGGAGGUGCUGACAGCUCAAGAAAGUUCAAGGCAUCAGUGUAAUAACAACUCCAGUUCUGAACACAAGCUUAAACCCAUGCUGCAAAUACAACUAAGUCAGAGAUCAGACUGGGAUUCUCUUAGAAGCAAAAACCAUAGCCUUUCUCUGUGUGGCGCUACUGAAGUGGUGAUCCAGCAGCAGGGCGGCAGCGGUGGAGCCUUGGUCUCCUUUGAAAACAAGAGACUGAACUGACCAUUUCCAAGAGCCUCCUUGAGUGCGCACACAGGCGGAAACACCCCUGGGACCAGCUUCUCUAACAGCCCAACCAGUGCAGCUGAGGUAAGUCCUGGAGGGAAAGAAAACUGCACCAAACACAAUCUUGCCGUGUUUAUUCACCUCUACUAUUGCACUAUGCUGCUUUCAGGAACAACAAAGCUAUCAGCUUGCUCAGAGAUGGUGAUUAAAAAAAGCACAAAUGUAGAAAAGUUAUCUGAUAAAUAUUUAAAGCUUCCGAAUUUACACUGUAAAGGAACACCUUAGGCUGCACUCUGAGCCCUCCUAAAGCCACAAAACACCCCCAACAAUUAUGUUUGCUAAACAAACAGCAAGUCCUGUAUUUUUUUAAAUUUAACUUCAAAGUUAAAACUACUCACUGAAGUGCAACAAACUGCAGUUUCUGAUUUUAAGAAUAAACUGCAUUAUUUGACUUUUUUGGUAAGAGUCUAGUGAGGUGAAAUGACUCUUAGAAAUCAAAGCUUCACAGAGAAGCUGAAAAGAUACUGAAUAAUGAUGAAAAUUAGCAUAAUGCUUAAAUAACUACUAUGGUCUAUAGAAAACAUUUAGUACUUAGCUGUAAUUGUUCCAACAUCAAUACAGUGAAUUUUGGUAAGGCCAACCAAGACCGUGUUGAAGUUAAGAAAAUCCUACUAUGAAACAGUAAAACAAACAUUUCACUCUUGAAUGUGACACCAUUAAGGAGAAUGUCCAAAUUCCAAAACAGUAAUUUCUACUGAUACCUUUGCUCUGAAAACCAGAUGCUGAGUACAGACUCCUGAUUUAGUUUUUACAAAUUUUAUCCUUGAUUGUGAAUUGCUAUUGCAUGCAGUAUUUAAGAAACUUAAACAAGUGAAUUCAUAAAACACACAGACUGUUUCAGAACAUAUAAAAUGAACAAUAUUGAAGCAAUGAACUGGAAUAAACUGUAAUUUAUAUGCUACAAUUAGUGGAUAAAAUGAUUGUCUUUGAUUCAGAUGCCUCAGUACCUUUAGUUUUUCUUCUAUUUUUAAACAUUCUCUUCCAUGUAAGAAUUAAUUUCUCAACAAGCUGUUCCCAUACUGCCACAUGGAAGCCUGUGCAAGGGAACAAAGAUGCUGUGGAAUACAUGUCUAAAACCUUGCAGCUCCCUGAAACUGAAAAAACUUCACUGAAACAUUUUCCUUUCUUCCCUCACCUUCCCCACUACCCUUAAGUCAGACUCAGUUGGGAGAGAACUCCCAGACUCAGCCUUUGCUACACAGGGUGGUAUCUGAAGGACUAAGAAGACGUUCUGCAUCUUCUGAUAAGCUGUAUGGGUACACAGGUGCUGACAGACUUUCCUCUCCCCAAAAGAAAUUUCAAAUUAUGAAUUAAAGAGAUGACUUUGCAUCAGCACUAAAAGAAGGAUAAUCACAUGCUGCAUAGAAAAAAGGUAUUUCAUAACAUCAAAGACUUGACACUGUAGAAAUCAAAUGGUGAAUAUUCACCUAGCAGGUAACGAAGUUUACUUAAUUGAUACAGGUCAGUUUAGGAUAUCCAGUUCUCUCUAUGCUCACCGGAUUCAUUUGCGAGGCACUCUGUUUCAAGAAAUCUGACUUUUAGAACUAGUAAGAAAAAACAAAACAAAACAACAGUAACUGCUGUGAAGCUAUCCAACAAUCCUUGGUAGACCUUGCAACACAGGAUUAAGGAGGGGGACACCUGGACAAAGUGUUAAAGAAAUCAAGAUACAAGACGACUUCUUGUACUAUAAAGACCUGCCAAAAUUAUAACUCUCUCUUCCAAAGAGAAAUAACGUGAUUCUCAGUACAUUCUUAAUAGAGCAGUUUGCUGAAGUUUCAAUUUUUCUAUCUCUGUUACUCCUAGGGGGAACAUCAGUGCAGACCUAUGCAAGAAAGUUAGAGAAAGACUUUUUUACUUUAAAGUAAGUUUUAUGAUAAAUAUAAAGGAUAGUUUAUAACAGUCAAGAACCACUGUUUGAUUGCCUCUACUUAUUAUCAAUUUACUUUCCUCUAUACAACAUUCCAUUGAAAUCAGAUGGGCUACUGAAGGUAACAUUCAACAACAGAAACAACUACUAGAAUGUGAUUACUUCAUUUCUAAAAUGGUUUAAGAGAUUAUGCAAGAACUAAAAUAUUUAACUCAAUCAAAAAAUAAAAGCUCUCAGUUUUUCAUAGAAUUAUAUGAAGAUAAAAAGCCCAUGUUAUUGCUAUUAUGAUAGAAAUAACAAAACAAAGUGGUCAUUUAUUUUGCAGAAUGAACAGUAUAAAUAAACUUCUGCAUGUUCUGUUUUGGUCUUCAUGUUUUGCAAUAUAUAUAUAUAUAUAUAUGAUGCUUUGUUAUCAAGCAAGGAUGAUUGCUCAUAGUUUUUUAGCUACUUAAAACAAUGGACUAAUUUUUCACUUGGACUAAGAAUGGUGCAAAU